UUGCCUGAACAAUGCUGUCUACAGAGGAGAAGGGGUCUGUUGGGGAGGGAUUUGGUUUGCGCCGGGCUGGGGUUUGCUGCGGCUUGCUGCAGCGUGGCCGGUGGGUGCGAGAGUGCGCGGCUUGUCUGUCCGGGUGGUCUCCGUCGCUGCUGGCUGCGGUUCACUUAUCCGCCGCUGUUGUGUGGUGAUGUUGUGGCAUUCAUUGGGAUGUUUCAAUUUGGUCAUUAGGUUGUGGUGGGCCUGGUGGCAUCUUUCGAUUCAGUCAUUGGGUUUUGGUGGUGAUAUUGUUUUUGUUGUUAGUCGUUUUUGUGAGUAGGGUCUGGUUGUGAUUUGCAGGCCGUUGUUGUUGGUCAGAGGAAGGAGCGGUGGUCUUCAUCUGGCCCAACCUGGUGUGCGCGGCGUGGCGGCUCUGUACAAAGGGAGAGACGAUUUGGGGACGGCGUGGCGCUUCUUCGGCUGCUAUCUUCCAUGUGUCCUGAUGGAUCCGCUCAAAACAAUUCUGUUGAAACUAUCCAUGAGCGAAUGUUUACGCCAUCAAUGUUGACCAUUAUAUCAGAGAAUUUAAAAAUACAUAUUAGCGGAUCUCGGUUUCUUAGGGUGAUUUCUUUUGCACCAACUGACACACUGUUGACAGCAUAAAAAAGAUGCUUGAACUAAAACUAAAUUCAAUAGUUGUUGCAAUUGAAGAGGAGCAUGGGGAAAUAUGAUGUGACAUAAUGAACCAUUUAGAAGAACAGAGGAAAACAUGGCAGCAAGACUCGGCAGUGCUUUCCAGGCAACAAAGGCCCUUCUUCUUUUAACUGAACCAGCAACACGUGCCGGCUCCAUCUUCUCUUCUGUUGAGGGCAUGCGUGAGGAUGGAGGAGAGGGUGUGUGUGACAGCAAGAGAGGAUGGAGGCUAGGACGCGAGGACUGACCUCUCGGGUGGACAGACAGUGGCGCGAGAGCCGGACGGAGCCGGACGUCUCUGUAGCCCACACUCUUACUACGGACGACGAUGGUGCCGGCGUCGUGGACCAACGCUGCGGCUCGAGCUUAGGAAAGUGAAAUCGCAAAAGACUAAUAUGUAUAGUAGUUUCAAACUCUCCAUGACAAAGAAGAAAAAUCACAAUAAAAGUAUCCAUUGUACACACAAGUACCUUCCAAGAUGAAAGUAGCAGCAGCUUUCAAUGGAGAAAUAGGCAAUAAUAAUCGACUGUGCCUUCCUAAGCCAGCUCAUCAAUCACACAGACCUACAACCAAAAAAAGUGGACAUUUGAAAAUUUCAUCAAGCAAUUGGUAUACAAUUGCAAAUGAAGCUGAAAUUAAAUAAUCCAUGAGGUGAUGAAACCUACCUCUGUAGGUGAUGCAAUCCAAAUCAUGCCGGGCCAAUGAACAAAAUGGCCUGCAGCAUUCACCUAACACACAUCUAGCUGAAAGGCAGUAUUUCUUUGGUUCUCAAAAUGGGACAGUAACAGCAACAAAGGCUGAUGUUGGCUGCAAGCAAAGUAUUAUGCAUCAGCUUGUAGCAAAAAACACGGUUGCACUUUCAUAUCAUUAAGAACAACAACGAAUUGGAGACUCAUCAGCUUCUAGUAUACCUGAAAAGAAAAUAUAUAGUUCAAACUCUUCUUCUCACCUCCCAGUACAUUAUAGUACAAAACAGGCAAGCACAAUAAAUAAAAUAAAUAGGAAAACAACAUAGUAAGGCGAUGCCAAGCAUCCAAGAUCCAACUUUAUGCCUACACAUAAUAACAGACAAAUGGAUUUCAAUUUACAGAAGUAAAUAAUGACUACUACUCAUCGGGUUUAGCAGUAACCCACUCUAUGAACCAACACAAAAUGGUUACAUAUUUUCCUUUUUCCUUAGAUCAUUUGCAUUGGGAAGCAUUUAACCCGACCUAAUCAGGAAGGAGCUACAUGUUUUCAUUUCUAUACUUGCUAAUUCAUUCCAACAUGCGUAAUAGCCUACUAAACCAAAUCAUCCAAAAGAAAUGAGAUAAUCUUCUCGACUAUGAUUAUUGUACAAUAAAGGCCAUGAGGUAAAUAGAAAUUAAAGCAUCCUGAUCUCCUUCAAUACUUAAAAUGCAACUACUCAACUUGUUAUCUUUUACUGGAACUAAAUUACAGAAAAAUCAAAUCACAUGACUAACAUAGAUUAAUCCUCCCCUGUUAGCCUUUUUGGAUUUUCAUCAAACAACUUGUAGACACGGAGAAACUAAAUUUGUACAAACAAAAUGAGAAGCUCUCGGAGCAGGGGACUGGAAGAAAGGGGGAGGAAUAAAUCAGUAAGAAGAGAAGGGACCUGAAGUCGAGCUGCAACCAGGCGAACUCUCGGCUGCACCGGCUGCUCGCGCUUCUCCUGUUGAGCACCUACGAUGAGGAAGAGGUUGACCAGAGCAGCCACACAAGGUGGAGGAAAAGGCGGACGGCAUGCCGUGGAGCGGCAGAAUCGGGAUCCAGCCCCAAGAUACGAGGCGACGCUCAUCAUCUGCCUCUCCAGUUCACCGGGUGGAUGGAUGGUGGCGUGAAGGGCGGUAGAUGAGGCAGCACUGGCGACUGUUGUGGCUGCUCCUACCCUGCGGCUGCCCCUCUCUUCUUCUCGAGCGCAUGGGCGGAGGCUGAGCACGGGCUGGCCGCAACUCGGUGCCUUCCGAGGGGGCAGACGAACAGGCGCAGAGACGGCCGGCGGCGAGGCGGUGUAGGAGCAGGGGCGUGGUGGUGGUGGUGGUGGUGGUGGUGGUGGUGUAGAGCAUGGGAAGAGGCGAGGAGAGGAGGCGGCGGCGAAGGGAGGAGAAAGUGGGCGAGAUGCGAGGACGGAAGGGGAUUGGCGAUUAGGUUUUCACCGUGCUGCUCGCAACGCUUAUCCUUCUUUCACCUUUCACCCAAUUGAACAUACUAGCAAACAUGCCCGUGCGUUGCAACGGGAGACAAAAAAGUUACACGCCAGCCAAAUAAGUAUGACUCAAUACCCCAAAUUAUGAGUGUUCUUUAUUUUCACAUGGUGGCUCACCAUGUUUCCACUUAUCUUUCUUCCCACACCCUCGUUGAUGAUGUACACGAUAUGCAUGUGAUCGCAAUGCAUUUGACGUGGUAAAUCCCAAGGCAAUGAGCUUGGCACUGCAUGGCACGCGCGCUAGAGAUUGUUUAAAACUUUAAAAACAAAUUUCAUGGACCACAAACUACUCCUAGCGCCUAGACAUAAAAAGACUUUCCAAAAACUACCCAAAUCCUAGACAUGAAAGACUUUUGAAUCGACGAACAUUUUUUCUAAUCGAGAAACAUUUGUUUUAAAAUUUUGGGCAUUUUUUAAAUGCAUGAACAUUUGUUUUGUUCAGACGAACAUUUUUUGAAAUGCAUGAAUUGUUUUCGAAUUCAUGAACAUUUGUUUUGUUCAGACGAACAUUUUUUGAAAUGCAUGCAUAUUUUUUGAAUUGAUGAACAUUUUUUGAGUUAGCAAACCUUUUUUGUAUCGAUAAACUUUUUUUAUAAUUGGGGAACAAAUUUUGAAAAAUUGUGAUUUUUUUAUAAUUUGCGAACAGUUUUGCGAAUCACCAAAAAAAUGAAAACUGCGGAAAAUUUAUGAGUUCUCACACAUUUUUUGAAUUCAUAAACAUUCUAUGAUUUCUCGAAUAUUUUUCUCAAAACUUGCAACCUUUUGUAAUUUGAAAAUCUCGAAUUAAUUUAAAGAAGGAAAAACAAAAACAGAAAUGAGAAAAGAAAAAACGAAAUGAAAACAGAAUAGGGGCGUGACGCCCCACGGGCCGGCCCAUGAACGCGUAUGUGGGAGGGAGGAGGUGCUUGACAAAAAGGUAGAGGAAAUAGGACGACCCUGGGGAUCGAACCCGGGUCUGCGCGGUGGAGAAGAUAUGCUUCAACCACUGAGCUGGUAGAGCGUCUGUGACAUGCGCGGGGUAUUUAUUUUAUAAACUCCUGUGCGCGACGAUGACUUCCAAAAAAUUGAAUCGUUUUCUUGACUUAUGAGUGGCACAGCGGGUAAUUUAUAGCAACUUUAAGGGUAUUUUUUUGACGGACGACCAGAAGCACUAUUUGCUUUAUUAGUAAAAAAAAAAAAUAGGGAAAGAUAAAUGACGCUAGACAACCCGCCGUUCUGGAGGCAUCGAGCGCGCACGAUGUCUUUGACCACACGAUGGAGUUACUCGAGCAGUAACAGUGUGUUUUUUUUACUGUUGGCGUCUGGUCAGCCGUUGGUCUUUUUUUACGUUGGGGGCUGCUUCAAGAGUCGAUGGCGGGUGGACCUCAUGAGGUGGUUUCGCCUUGUUUCGGUGCGAUUGAAUUAGCCACGAAGAUGAAAAUAUCUCCCUCGUCAGCCCCUCUCACGUCAUCCUCGAUUCCUUCCGCUCCCUCGCGACCCCCGCCGCCGCCUCCUCUCCCGCUACCGCCGCGCCAGGGCCUCGCCUCGCCCUCACUGGCCACCGGCGACCUCCAACCCUUGUUCUCCGCCUCGUCGCCAUAGCCACCUUGAGCUCGAGCAGAGGAGCGGCUCGGCAGGAGGGGGCAACAGCCAGCCGCGCCUCGUCCGUGUCGCGUGGUGGCCCAGAUGCGGUCGUCCCGUGCUCUGCCUCCACGAGCGCGGCCUCGAUCCAGACUCGGCAGGAGGAGGGGAGCAGCAGCUGGCCAUGCUGUGUUGGCCGUGGAGGAGGAAGGAGCUCAUGUGGCUAGGGUUUGGCUACCCUCGUCAUCCAUCUCCUCGAUCUCUCUCUGCCUGGCCGUGGUCUGAAGGAGGAAGAAGGGACGCAGCGAAAUCGAGCGAUGCGGGCUGCAAUAGCCUAAAUAGGUGGCGGUCGAGACCACGGGAGCGGGAGCGAUGGCCAUCUGCCCCCGCCCCACUCUCUUUACCUCUUCUAUGGAGAUGCUUUGCUGGGGACAUAUGAUUUCAUCCCAUUCUGUACUAUCCAUCAGUUAUGGAUUUCUCUCGCCACUUUCUUUUUAGUCAAUGAAUUGGUGUCUAAUAUAGGAAGGCUAAUUCGUCCCCAAUCUAGGCCUCGGAUCCACGGCUUCUCCAUCUUCUUCCUCCAGCCCCUUUCUCCAUGUCGGCCAUCCAAGAUAGAGACGGCUUAGAUGGCAAGGGCCAAGCAUCAGCAUGGACGACGGCCUCCAAGAUUUAAGUGGUCAAGUAUGAAUGACGAUGCAGCUUGCAGAGUCAGGGUACCGACACCCAAAUAAGUUCAGGCCAGUCCUUGAUGUGAAGAAGCUAAGGGAGGCGGAUCCCGACCCUUAUGACAGCCAAAAUUAGGCCGCCACUCGUCUCUCUCCUACACCUGCUCUUCAGAUGGCCAACAACACUUCGCGAGCAAUGACUGCUGUCCAGUUAAGAGCAAGAAAGAUCUUGCUGUUACUUGUCUUUUCAACAGUUCUUCUGUGUGGAAGGCACUUUGCUCACACUCAAAUACUACCUCUGAAACAUGGAAGAAGGAAAAGGUUACUCUUCUGAUCUUGAGAAAACAGUUUCAGAGAAGCUAGCAGAUGUAGAAGAUUCUCUGAAGAAGUUGAAGCAGGUUCUCUUCAAUUUGCUGUUGUGCUAGGCAUGAACAGAAUGGCUUCCUCUUCUUGCGAACCACACUGAUGUUGUCUUCUGGUUUCUGCUGCAAUGGUUUUUUUUACUAUGGACAACGUUUCUUGAGGCUAUGUCUCUGCUAUAGGUCUCCGCAUUUCGGGGGACUAAGUCCGACGACGGGAGAUUCUACAUAUAUUUUCUAAAAGACAUGUCACUUGGUCGAGGCCUUGAUCAUGGUGAUAUGUGUUUAUUCGUCCGGUGACUCAGUAGAACGAUAACCUCUGUGCACAGUGAUGUUUCAGUUUCUACAUUGAUGGUUUCAAGCAUAAGAAGGUUUCAAAAUUAAAUGAGCCUUGUACAGGACUGAUAACAAAUUAUGCUUUCUGAGUUUCUGAGUUUCAAGCUACUGAAAGUAAUUGAAGCUUUGCCUUCGCUAUGUAAGAAUGGUUGCAUGUGUUAAUUAGUGGUGCACAUUUUUUGAGACUGUCCAAAAUUCUAUUAUAAAAUGCUUAUAUGAAAUUGAUGGGUACCUGGAA